CUAGAAUGCAUCACAAAUAGUUACUGUCAUACCAUACAGUUUCAGAUAACUUUCCUCAAGUAAGCUAAAUUCUGGUAGGGGAGUUAUUCUCUGCAGUUUAUUUGAUGAUCUCUACCUUGCCCUGCACCCAUUUAUGCUCUCUCUUCUAGACCUUGUUCACUGCUGUUGUCCUGGUGUUACUUUCUUCUCGCAUCUUAGGAGGAAGAGCAUCUCCAAGAUGUAAGCCACAUUCUGUGACCCACCUAUUUCCUGUUCUUUGAAUGGUGGCUUUUGAGAACAGUGCCUAAGGGCUUAUAGUUCCCGGGGCAAUCUUAUGAAGAGCAAGCAGAUUUUGCAAUAUCUUAGCUCAGUUUGCGGUAGCCUUAAUUCUUGAAGCUGAAUAUGAAAGAUCAGAAAG
rnacentral:lncRNA from 1 species